UAACGCACAGCCACAGUAUGAUGACUUGUAUCUGUAUCAGGAUCUAUGUUCAGAUAACAAUAACCCAACUGUUUCUGAGAUGGGCUCAGGUGAGGAGAAAUGCUGGAAAGAGCCCAGGAGCAUUGGAGCAGCCCCACAGGCACCUGGACAACCCUGGAGAGCCUGGGAAGAGCGUCAGAGCACCUGGAGGAACCUGAGAGCUGCCCUGGCAGCCCCCAGAGGCCCUGGGAGAGCCCUGUUCAGAGCACAGAGCUGCCCAGACAGGACUAGGAAGAUGCACAUCCUGCUCGUCCUCCACAUUCUGAGCCUGAAGGCAAAAGCAUCAUACCAGGCACUAUGAAGAAAAUCAUCUCUCUUUCAGCUGUAACCAGGAAAGAGGAACAGCUGGUUGGGAUCAAGCAGCAAGUCCAUCCAGGCCAGUAUCUUGUCUCUAAUGAUCCGGCAGCCAGAGAGCAGCAGGGCAAACAUAUUUGGUUAUGGGAGGUGGUUCUGGCAAUUCUUUCAGCCAUAAGCAAGCAUCUUUUUGUUUAAUAGCUUGGGUAGAUUGUUUUCAUAUAAAUUUGUCUAACGACUUUUUACAGCUAUAUAAACCUUUGACAUAAACACAUCUGUCACGUUGAGUCCCAUGGUUUAACCACAAGCUCUGGAAGAGCUCCUUCCGUUUGCCUUCAUGGUUUCUGCUGAGCUCCUCAGUUCAGAGGGGUGCUGUGGGCUUGUUACUUCUAGCUUGCACUCAAGAGUUUUUAAACACUGUCAGUGAUUACCAUGAAAAUGAAUGUAAUGCUGAAGCAGCCUUUACUUGUCGUAAGGGUCGAUAUUAACUGGCUGUUUACAUCUCCCUCAUGCUUUAAGCGAGUGAACUUUGAACACUGCUCCCAUGUUUUCCUCAUUCAGUUCCACUGCAGUACAGUGCCCAUAGAUAAGCACUGUAAGGCUCACCGUUCACUCAGCAGAAAUGCUCCUGUAGAGAUUUUGCACUGAGCAGCAGUGACUAACUCAGUCAUGAGGUGGGCAUAUGGUGACACCCCCUGCUGUGACCAAAAAUAAAUCUUCCUUCACACAAAAGUUGAUGUGAUCAUUCCUCCGUCUCUCUCCCAUCUCCUCUCCUCCAUUCCCGGCUCAGUCCUCUUCCUAUCAGGGAUUAUUCAUUCUCUUAUUGCCAAAGGACCCUUCAUCAUACACCACGCUAUUGCCCCGUCUCUCUGCAUGGAAAUCUUUUCCCACUAAUGCUGCUGUUUCUAACAUCACUGAGUAGAGCUGCUUUUGCCUCCCACAUGUAGAGAACUUCUACAGCGCAGCAUGUCUUUUAUCUCUAUCCACAUCAGGAGGCUGCUCAUCAAGUUUCCCGACGAGCCUGCUUGCUAAUGGGGCUGAUCUGCUGUGGGAGCAGCUACCGGCGUUGGGGAUCUGCUGAGCUUGAAGGCGCUGCGCCGCCAGCCUCCCUCUUGUGACUAAUCCCCGUCACUGCAACUCGGGAGAACGAGAACUUGUGCUCACAGCGCUUAUUUAAGAGCACCCCACUGCAAGGAGACUCUAUAUCUCACGGAGAGCAUAGUGGAAAGCAGGUCAAAGACUUUUCAUCUUCAUGGACUCCACUGUGUACACGUGGGACUGACUAGAUGUGCUGCUCUUGCAAAACCUCAGAAUGCUUUAAUUCAGGCAUCUACUUCCCUGGAUUUGAUGGUGUCAUAGAAAGACUUUUAUUUUAAGAUAGCUGUGGCAAAAAUCUGUGUUUUGCUGAUCCCAGUUUUCAUUUGGACUUGUUCUACUAAUAGCAUUUCCAUCUACUUCAGUUCUGAAUUAGCUCUUGAAGUAGGAGUGUUAGUCCUACUAACAUCAUCAUAUGGCUUUCUACUUUGCUGGAAGAUUAGCUGAUAUAUGAUCAUAGGCAUGGUAUAAGAACAAAGUUUAAAAUCACAGAAUCACAGACUGGCCCGGG